GUGGGGAAUAUUGGACAAUGGGCGAAAGCCUGAUCCAGCAAUGCCGCGUGAGUGAUGAAGGCCUUAGGGUUGUAAAGCUCUUUUACCAGGGAUGAUAAUGACAGUACCUGGAGAAUAAGCUCCGGCUAACUCCGUGCCAGCAGCCGCGGUAAUACGGAGGGAGCUAGCGUUGUUCGGAAUUACUGGGCGUAAAGCGCACGUAGGCGGUUACUCAAGUCAGAGGUGAAAGCCCGGGGCUCAACCCCGGAACUGCCUUUGAAACUAGGUAACUAGAAUCUUGGAGAGGUCAGUGGAAUUCCGAGUGUAGAGGUGAAAUUCGUAGAUAUUCGGAAGAACACCAGUGGCGAAGGCGACUGACUGGACAAGUAUUGACGCUGACGUGCGAAAGCGUGGGGAGCAAACAGGAUUAGAAACCCCGGUAGUCC
rnacentral:rRNA from 1 species